UUUAAAGUCUAACCUGCCCUAUGAGAAAUUAAAUGGCCGCGGUAUUUUGACCGUGCAAAGGUAGCAUAAUAAUUAGUUUUUUAAUUGAAAGCUGGAAUGAAUGGUUGGACGAGAAAAUUUCUGUCUCAGUUUAAUUUUAAAUGAAUUUUAUUUUUAAGUAAAAAAGCUUAGAUUUUUUUAAAAGACGAGAAGACCCUAUAGAGUUUUAUAAUUUUAUUAUUAAAAAUUUUUUAGUAUUUUUAUAUUUUUAUUUGUAAAAUUAUUUUGUUGGGGUGAUGGAAAAAUUUAAUAAACUUUUUUUAUAUUUUAUCAUUGAUUUAUGUUUUUUUGAUCCAAUUUUUUUGAUUAUAAGAUUUAAUUACCUUAGGGAUAACAGCGUAAUUUUUUUUUAGAGUUCUUAUCGAAAGAAAAGUUUGCGACCUCGAUGUUGGAUUAAAAUUAAUGUUUGGUGUAGGGGCUAAAUGGUUAGGUCUGUUCGACCUUUAAAAUUUUACA
rnacentral:rRNA from 1 species